rnacentral:lncRNA from 1 species
CACAGGGCUAGCUGAUGCAAGUGAAAAUGGCAAAGAGCAAAGAUGACAUAAAGUAUGGGACUUCGCAAGCGAGGCUGAACGAGGAUGAAGCUGUGAGGGUUGCAUACGAAAUUCCUUCUUCUGCCGCUGGUUUUCUCUUUGUUAUGUGUUCGUUGUUGUAUGCUUUGAGUUGUAAGUUUUCUUCUUUCUUUUUUCCUCUCCUUGAGUGUAUUUG